ACAGAUAUAUACUCUCAGAUUGCCUUUUUUGAUAAUUCGCACUGCAUGAAUGAGCACCGAUUUUGGGUAUUUGAUGGUGAUUUCACAAAACCUGUCGGUAUUAAAGUGACUGAGCAUUAUGGCAGCUCAUUCUUAAAGGGCUCGUAGGAAGGACAUACUGCAUCUGUGGUGAACAGUCCUCUGGUAGAGCGUUUCUGUGCGAGAAAGCUUGAGGACGCAUCUGAAGUGCUUUGAUAAAGUGCUUUGAGAGAAAAUGAACUCCCUCAUGGAUUUAAUGACAUCAAAGAGUGGAUAAACAAGUCAUGAAAUCUGGGCAGCAAGCACUGCAGAACUAUAGCUGUACUGAGAAC
ensembl:lncRNA